rnacentral:hammerhead_ribozyme from 1 species
AUCUGCCUGAUGAAUCCCAAAUAGGACGAAACGUGCGUCCUGGAU